rnacentral:tRNA from 1 species
CAGGCUGUAGCUCAGUUUGGUAGAGCGUCGCGCUGGGGGUGCGAAGGUCGCUGGUUCAAGUCCAGUCAGCCUGA